UACAUGGGGUGCAAACGUUGCUCGGAAUUAUUGGGCGUAAAGCGCACGUAGGCGGUUUGUUAAGUCGGAUGUGAAAUCCCUCGGCUCAACUGAGGAAGUGCAUCCGAAACUGGCAAGCUUGAGUACGAAAGAGGGUCGCGGAAUUCCCGGUGUAGAGGUGAAAUUCGUAGAUAUCGGGAGGAACACCGGUGGCGAAGGCGGCGACCUGGGUCGAUACUGACGCUGAGGUGCGAAAGCAUGGGGAGCAAACAGG
rnacentral:rRNA from 1 species